UUGACACCAUUGACAAAUUUCUUUUAUUUCACUGAAAACCAAUGCCAAAGCAACUUAUUAACGAAGAAAGAUUGAUCAUCGAGGUGCAGAAACAUCCAUGCAUAUACGACAUCCAGUCGGUGAAUUAUAAGGACACAGAAAUGGCAGCCAAUGCCUGGUCAACAAUCAGCACAGUGAUUGAAAGUGCUAGUGGAUCUGAUUGCAAAAACCGUUGGAAGACUCUCAGAGACAGAUGCGUUAGACUUAAACGAGAGCAGAAGACAAAAAGUGGCCAAGCAACCAAGUGUAAUAAGCGGCCGUGGAAAUAUGCAGCUGUCAUGAGCUUCCUUGACAACUAUAUUUAGGAUGCUGAAACAAGCAGCAACCUUGCAUUAAACAUAGAUGUCAACGACGACACACAAGCAGCAUUUUCUACCAACGACAUUUUAUCAGAAUCAGAUGGUCUUACUGAUGAAGAUAACGAGUCUUCUACAAUAAGUAAUCCAGGAAUAUCUACUUCAAAGUCUACCAUCGACCCACUAUCUGAGUCAAAAGCAACCAUCAAGCCAUCAAAAAGACCGAAAACCAGAAAAUUUAGAUCCUGCUGGCUUGGCUAUGCUGAACUAUCGGAUAGCAAGGUUCCCGAUGCGCCUUCUGACGAAGAUGAGAUGUUUUUGAAAUCUCAAGUACCUGCACUGAAACGUUUAACUCCGCAAAAAUAUUAUAAUUCACGAACUAUUAUACAAAGCUGAAUUUUAUCCCAACACCCAGCUUUAUUUGCAAUCAACUGUACUAAGCAAUCAACUGUACUAAAUACGCGCAACACGCUAAAUCAAACACAAUGGCCGCAAGCAGAAAUGAACAGGAAUCCCGCAUGGGGAUAUAAUAAUAAUAACAAUGAUGCCUUAACAUACGAGUGCGUCUGAACUACAUGCACUUGUUCAUGUACAUGUAUAUGCAUUCGUAUCUUUGCAAAAUAUAUAUUUAGCAAUAUUUUCUUCCUCUGCUAUUAAAUAUAUGUUACUUUGUUUGUUCAUUAACUUUGAAAUUGGAAUUAUGUAAAUACCAAAAUGACUGUUUUUAAAUGUAUUAAUAACAAUUAUGUGUAUUGGUGAAUUAUACAAUGUCACAUAACCUACAUACUUUUAAUAAAUCCAGUUUGAUAUUUAAAAAAAUAAA